rnacentral:misc_RNA from 1 species
UGGAUAUUUGUAGCUGGUAAUCAAGGUAUUCCCGGAAGAGAUAAUGUCUCCUUGAAUCAUGAUCAAGAUAGCCUAGAUGUAUCAGAUUGGACCUUGCCGUAAGAAAUUGAAAGAACAUGAUAGAAAAUCCAGGUCAAAAUUGACAAAACGAAAGUGAAAAUGAAUCAUAUUUAGCCUAGAAUUAUGAAGAAUUUAUGCCAUAGGAAUCUAAGUGACUGCACAUCAUCAUCAUGAAAUCUAACAGGGGUAGCCCCUUUUGUGAGAAAUCCAAAUGACAUGUCGUCAACAAUAGAGGAAGAGGUAGAAAAACAGCAAAGGACAACUGAUCUGAAGGGUUGGCAUUGCCCAGUAGAGACCAAUAAUGAAGAAGAGCCAUCAACCCCUUACGAGGGUGUCAAACUUCAAAUCGAAGAUGUCCGGAGUCUCUCAGAGGGUGUCAAAAAUGAUAUUCACAGCAUUGAAGAAGAUGCAACCAACUCAGAAUUGGAGGAGAAAACACCUAGGAUAAGUGUCAAUACAAUGUCAUAUGCUGAUAUCGUUGAGAGUGACCCUAAACGUGUAUGUGGGAUUACAAGAGCUCUCAAUACAGCAGUUCACCAAACAGAUAAAGAGGUAGAACAAUUUUGGUGCAAUUUUUGCAAGUUCAAAUGUAUUGAUUCAACUUUAUUCAACCAGCAUGUAGCCACACAUGUCUUUAUGUGUAAAUUCUGUAAUUACGCUGGUUUUACAAGGCUCGAAAUCCUCCAGCACAAUUUGUUUCAACAUAAUAAUAAAGAUGCAACUCAGCAUAAGUUCUGUUCUGCUGAAAUAAAUGGAUUAGAGGAAGAAAGAGAGAUUGUUGGAAAAAAUGUUGCCAGAGUUGGUUCAUAUGGAGAAAGAAAGGAUAUUGCUAAAAAGUCUGUGCUUACUAGUAUUGAAGAUAUGAGUAUGAAAUGCAAGUGGUGCACAUUCUCAACUAUUGGUUGUGAAUCUUUAUAUAGCCAUGUCACUACAUGGCAUGGUUGCAGCAGUAAUGCAACAGAAGAAUGCAGAUUCUGUUCUUUCAAAAAUCAUGAUAUAAAUGUCUUGAACAUCCACAUUAUGAUCUUUCACACAGAAUUAAUUAAGGAUGCAAAAUUCUCCUGUGUUGAAUGCAAUACUGCAUCUGAAAUGACUAUGAAAGAAAUGGAAUCCCAUAUACAUCAUAAGUCAUUUACAGCUAGAAAAUCUUUGAUGUAUGGGUGUUUUUUGUGUAAGUUUAAUUCAUAUAGAAAUGAGCAGCUUCCAUACAGAGUUUUAGCUCAUGUUAUGAAACAGCAUGGCUGUAAAAGAAUUAAAUUUAUGCAAAACUCCAUCAUUAAAAGCAAGUAUGAUGAUUUGAUUGAUAAAUUGAAAAAUUGUGAUGAUCAUAACUAUACAGAGGUAAUGCAAUCACCAUCCUCCACUCCUCCGAUGAGUUGCCAUAUCUGUUCAGAGAAAUUCUUCACAGAAGUAGAGUAUGACAAUCAUUUACAACAAAAACACAAUUUACCUGUUAUUACAGUAAAACAUGUUGAUACAACGAAGAAAAAAGAAGAAAAAGCAAGUGUGCCAGAUACAUAUCCACAGCUCAAUCAAAUAUUAGAAGAAGCAAAUGGCCUCAAUACAUCUUUAGCUCAAGAAUUACAGUCUGUGGCUACAGAUGAAGUAGUGUCUUUAGGGAGAAACCUUAAGGCUAAUACUAAAGAUGAAACAAAUGAUUCUGAUGUCAAAAGUGUCCAGACAAAUAGUUCUGAUGUACCCUUAAGAACUGACCUCAAGACCAUAAAUUCAGACCAAGCAACAGUUUCUGAUCCAGCUCACAUUGGAGACCUAGAGACUGCAGCCCAAGCAAAGGGUUCAGAAAAAUCUUUGAGUACAAGCAACAAGUAUGGAAAUACAAACCAAGCAAAUGAAUUAUCUCCGAAUGCAUUGCUUGACCUCAAUGUUUUAGCUUCAAAUCAAACAGCUCCUAUAACAGAUACGCAGAGCAAAUCUGAACACUUAUCCCCCACAGACAUCAAAUCAAAGACAGCUAUAGAGCCAGGUUUAUCUGAUCCUAGACAAAGCUAUGUUACAUGGAAGUGUAGAUACUGUUUCAAAUUGUUCCAUGAUCAUAUUUGUACUGCAAAUCAUGUUAGAUUGCAUCAUCCCGGGAAAGUUAUCAGUGCAAUAAAAGUGACUAAAUACAAAUCUUCAAAUAAGAAGGAUCCGAUCAAUGGCAAUUCCAAAACACCAACCAAACAACAAUCAACAAAUGUCAUUCAAACAGUCAAUACAAAUUCGCCCCUGAUAGUUCUAAAUACUGCUGCUGUUCCUGUCUACUCUGGCAACAAACAAGAAAUCAACUUGCCUAUUUUAUCUACAACAUCACUUGAUUCUGAUGCCAAAUCCACAAUUACUAAUCUAGAUGAAUGUUCGAUAUGUGCAGUGAAAGUAAAAGCUGAAAAUAUGGACCAACAUUUGCUUAUUCACUCAACAAAGUCCCUAUACGAUGUAGCCUUCCAAUGUGGCUUGUGUGAUGUUGCAGCUUUGCACAUAAAGAAGGUCGAACAGCAUUUUUAUAAGACUCAUGGGGAAAAUUUGAAAUUUGCUUCCAAUGUUGCAUUCCUGUACAGAUGUAAGAAGUGCUCUCUUAUUAAACAUCAGGAAACUGGUAUACUUCUUCACAUUCAAUCCAUGCACCCGUCUCUGUGGACCCAAUAUUGUAAUAAUAUCGCAGAAGAUCCAAAUGUGAAAACUGCUGUUUCUCUCUCUACUGUCACUAAAGUUGAUCAUGAUGAUGUCAAAGGAGAAAUUCCACAUGUCCAGAAAGAAGAGGCAUCAAAGCCACAGUAUGUUUUAACUCCAAGAGGACUGAAGCGUUUGGACAAAAUCAACGACCCCAAGGAAGCAGAAUAUGAUAAACAAGACAAUGCUGAAGCUCUGAUACCUAUUCAACCUUCACUCAUUGUAUCUCCUGAUGAUGAACUAGAAAAUUCUUCUGACUCCGGAUCCAAGACUGAAGAUGAAAGUCCAAGCUCUGAAUACAUUCCAUCUUCUGAUGAUGAAGACUAUACCCCCAAGCCAAGAAAGAAAAAAUAUAGAAAGACAGAAACUAAAUUCCUGAAUAAGAGGAAAAUAGACACUCCAGGAAAUAAUGAACUGAGAAAAAGAGUGAGGAAAGACAUACACAUUCAUGUAUCACUUUGUGGAAAGGCUAAGGAUGUAUUAGGAUCAUAUAAAUCCUUAGGCAUGAGACAAUUAAAAAACAGUUGCCUUUUCGUAUGUGCACACUGUGGGUUUGAAACACGUGCUCUUACAGUAUCUAGACACAAGACUAAGAUGCUAGAUCAUCUAAAGGAUUGUUGUAAAAAUAAAACAAUGGGAGUGGCUGUAGAUAUCAGAAACCAUAUUGGAAAACAGGCUUGCAAAGUUUUUUUUUGCUUGAACUGCAAAAAUAUGUUCUCUAGAUUUAUACUUUAUGAAAAACAUGUUCAAAAAUGUCAAGAUCAAACUAAAGUUAGCAUUUGUGCUACAGCAAGAAACGCGAUGGAUUCAUAUCGAUCUAUGGGCAAGACAACUGGAACUGGUAAUUGCAUUCUUGUAUGCACUCACUGUGGAGUCGAAGCAUGUGCUUUGGACAUGCGUUUAACAGAAUUGUUAAUGUUUAAUCACCUCCAAGAAUGUUCAGAGUUAGAUUCAACUUUUGGAGUUGCUGUAGAUAUAAAAAAGUACAUUGAUAGACAGCGUUGUAAAGUCUUUUUUUGUCUGAAGAAUUUUUGUCAGCGAGCUUUCUCAGCCUACUCAUUAUUUGAAAGACAUAGACAAAUAUGUGAACAACGAGUUUUAUCGAGAACCCCUUCUUUCACUCCUUCCUUUACCAAUUCUGAAAUUGACACUACAAACAAUGAUGAUAAUGAAGUUGUCCAUCCUCCAAAAUGUAUUAAACAGGAACUAGAUGAUGAUGCUCCACCUGAUAUAUCAAAAAGCUUCUACCCAGUUAGCAAUAAUAAUGGCAAAGAUUUCUCAGAUAGGGUCAUAGAUAAUGAUGCAACAGGAAACGGUAUGCCUAGUCUUCUUAAGAGGUCUAUCGAACAUGAACAAGAAGACAUACAGAUUGAGCCAGCUGAAUUCUCUGAAUCAAAUCUUGCAUUAGAGAAAGAUUGGGUUCCCCCUAAUCUUGAGUAUAAUAUUCCACUUAGUACCACAUCACAAUCUGGAAAAGGGAAUUCUAAAAGAAGGAAAAAGAUGUCAUAUAAAGGCAAGCAAUUCAAAGCAAGUAGUGCAAUGCAACAUGAGGCUUUUGGAUAUCAGUGUCUUAAAUGUAGAAAUGAUGUCACCUCUAUACCUGAUAUGAAACAACAUAUUAUUUGGAACCAUCCACACUCUGAUACUCCUUGGACCUGUAGGGACAAUCAUUUAAGGUUCCAAAAAAAGUCUUCAAAGCUAUAUUUAUGCCAUCGAGACAAUUGUUCCCUUUCCACUCCAGAUUUAAGUGAAAUAAACCAACAUAUCGAGGAACAUGACUGUAGUGAUGAAUCAUUAAUGGCCCAACAGAUUGGGUCAAAUACAGAUCCUCCAGACUUUGAGCGAGCAGAGGAUCUUUUGAAAACACAAAACAUUAAAUCUGAACCGUUAGACAUUGAAUAUGAAGUAAAUCUUGAACCUCAGGAUAAAUAUCAGGAUUCUGACUUCAACCUAGAUGAUACAAUCAAGCAAGAAUGCAUAGAUUCUGUUCAUGACUCUAAUGUAGAGUACACUCAUGAUGAUCUUGAACUGACAGUAGGAGAUGCCUGUGAUUCACAGUCAGUCACCCAGAAGGAUGACAAGAUGUACUAUUGCUCAUAUUGUCAAUUCCGCACAAGCACACUCUCCCACAUAAGGUCCCAUGUUGCUGAUGAGCAUGACUCGAUGGAAGGUGGUUAUACUGAGAUGUCUUCACGAGUGAAUGCUGAUGGGGAUGUUGUUGUCAAUGUGACAGGAAGUAAUGAUUCUAGUAAAGAUGGAGAUGAGUCUGAUGCUGGUGUAAGCAAGCCUUCAAGCCCAAUGAAUCAUAUCUUCAAAGAUUCAAAUGACACCAAUUUAGAAAAUAGUGAUUUAGCUAACUCUGACAAUAAUAUUCAACCUGAUGAUGCUCCUAGAUUCUUUGGAGACAUUAACAAUCCAGAAAGUGAUAACGAUGGUGAUCUGAUUGAAUCAGAUCAUAUCAACGCUGUAUCAAGUACUUCUAAAGUGUCAGACUCUAACGAGGAUUCUCAAAAUGACACAUUUUACAAUAAGAAACCUCUUAUUGUCAACCAUAUAAGUAGAUCUAAUUGGAAGAAUGGAACAAUUGACAACACUGAUGCUGAAGAGGUUUGAAGCAAUAGUGAUAACUCUAACAGUACAAGUGAACCAGAAAAUUCUGAUUCUGAAUUCUGAUUGCCUUUGAGAUCACACCGUGACAUUAAUUGAUCUCAGUUCAUUUGUUUUACAGCUGAAAAUGCACACUUGGAAUGCAAUGUGAUAGUGACUUGUACUUGGAGGUCUUUAACAGUAACUUUAUAAAAGUUAAGAAUUCUUAAGUCAGUUACUCUCAUAAUAUAGUCAUUAUAUCCAUAGUUCAACAAUUAUUUAGGAAUCUUUAACCCUACAAGUUAUUGUUAAUGACCUCUCCAAGAUUAUUCUUUAUACAUUUUGAGAUUAGUGAAUCGUUAAAAGUGUGUCUUUUAACUCCUGAAUCGUAAUCUUAUUCUUGUGAAGUGAAGUAUACUCUGUAUGUAUUCAUAUUUUCAAAAGGUGUACAUUUCUAGGCUGUUAUGGCAACUCUAUGACAUACAUGUGCCUUGUGCAAGUAUAAUCGGCUAAAACACAAUAGAAGUUAAGCAUGGUCAUUGAUUGAAUCUUGUUCAUACAUGUCAUAUUGACCGCCUUAUUUGCAACAUUAUGAUUUGAAGUUUUGCUUUGAAUGUCAAAUUUUUUUGGAGCAUUCAAGUAGUCUUUAGUCGAAGGUACUAUCAAAAUGACAUAUUUUACAUUGUUGGAGAUUUGCCUUGAACAUGGCUAUGGAAUGGAUUUGUUGAAAUGUUAUAGUCCACUUUAAAACAGCUAUAGAUAUUGAAUGAAAAUUAAUGUAUGAAAUAAGACAUAGUUCACAAAUUACUUUAAAUAUAAUGAAUGGAAAGCCCAAAAAAUCCCUUGUAUGUUGUGGGACUACAGUGAAACCUGUAAAGUGGAACACCUUUAGAAGUGGAACACUUCUGUUUGUAGAACAUUUUUCAGAGUCCAAAGACCAACUGAAUUAAUGUUAAAUGAACCUCUAUAAGUGGAACACCUCCU